rnacentral:rRNA from 1 species
UACGUAGGGGGCUAGCGUUGUUCGGAUUUACUGGGCGUAAAGCGCACGUAGGCGGAUCGUUAAGUCGGGGGUGAAAUCCUGGAGCUCAACUCCAGAACUGCCUUCGAUACUGGCGAUCUUGAGUCCGGAAGAGGUGAGUGGAACUCCUAGUGUAGAGGUGGAAUUCGUAGAUAUUCGGAAGAACACCAGUGGCGAAGGCGGCUCACUGGACUGGUAUUGACGCUGAGGUGCGAAAGCGUGGGGAGCAAACAGG